GGACGAUUAGCUCAGCGGGAGAGCGCUUCCCUGACACGGAAGAGGUCACAGGUUCAAUCCCUGUAUCGUCCACCU
rnacentral:tRNA from 1 species